rnacentral:rRNA from 1 species
AGAGUUUGAUCAUGGCUCAGGACGAACGCUGGCGGUGUGCUUAACACAUGCAAGUCGAACGGAAAGGCUCCUUCGGGAGUGCUCGAGUGGCGAACGGGUGAGUAACACGUGGGUGAUCUGCCCUGCACUUCGGGAUAAGCUUGGGAAACUGGGUCUAAUACCGGAUAGGACCGCAUGCUGCAUGGUGUGUGGUGGAAAGCGUUUAGUGGUGUGGGAUGGGCCCGCGGCCUAUCAGCUUGUUGGUGGGGUGAUGGCCUACCAAGGCGACGACGGGUAGCCGGCCUGAGAGGGUGUCCGGCCACACUGGGACUGAGAUACGGCCCAGACUCCUACGGGAGGCAGCAGUGGGGAAUAUUGCACAAUGGGCGCAAGCCUGAUGCAGCGACGCCGCGUGGGGGAUGACGGCCUUCGGGUUGUAAACCUCUUUCACCAUCGGCGAAGCCUCAAGUUUUCUUGGGGUGACGGUAGGUGGAGAAGAAGCACCGGCCAACUACGUGCCAGCAGCCGCGGUAAUACGUAGGGUGCGAGCGUUGUCCGGAAUUACUGGGCGUAAAGAGCUCGUAGGUGGUUUGUCGCGUUGUUCGUGAAAUUCCCUGGCUUAACUGGGGGCGUGCGGGCGAUACGGGCAGACUGGAGUACUGCAGGGGAGACUGGAAUUCCUGGUGUAGCGGUGGAAUGCGCAGAUAUCAGGAGGAACACCGGUGGCGAAGGCGGGUCUCUGGGCAGUAACUGACGCUGAGGAGCGAAAGCGUGGGGAGCGAACAGGAUUAGAUACCCCGGUAGUCC